rnacentral:rRNA from 1 species
UACGUAGGUGGCAAGCGUUGUCCGGAUUUACUGGGCGUAAAGGAUGCGUAGGCGGACAUUUAAGUCAGAUGUGAAAUACCCGAGCUUAACUUGGGUGCUGCAUUUGAAACUGGGUGUCUAGAGUGCAGGAGAGGUAAGUGGAAUUCCUAGUGUAGCGGUGAAAUGCGUAGAGAUUAGGAAGAACACCAGUGGCGAAGGCGACUUACUGGACUGUAACUGACGCUGAGACACGAAAGCCAGGGGAGCGAACGGG